CACGUGGGCAACCUGCCUGUAAGACUGGGAUAACUUCGGGAAACCGAAGCUAAUACCGGAUAGGAUCUUCUCCUUCAUGGGAGAUGAUUGAAAGAUGGUUUCGGCUAUCACUUACAGAUGGGCCCGCGGUGCAUUAGCUAGUUGGUGAGGUAACGGCUCACCAAGGCAACGAUGCAUAGCCGACCUGAGAGGGUGAUCGGCCACACUGGGACUGAGACACGGCCCAGACUCCUACGGGAGGCAGCAGUAGGGAAUCUUCCGCAAUGGACGAAAGUCUGACGGAGCAACGCCGCGUGAGUGAUGAAGGCUUUCGGGUCGUAAAACUCUGUUGUUAGGGAAGAACAAGUACAAGAGUAACUGCUUGUACCUUGACGGUACCUAACCAGAAAGCCACGGCUAACUACGUGCCAGCAGCCGCGGUAAUACGUAGGUGGCAAGCGUUAUCCGGAAUUAUUGGGCGUAAAGCGCGCGCAGGCGGUUUCUUAAGUCUGAUGUGAAAGCCCACGGCUC
rnacentral:rRNA from 1 species